rnacentral:rRNA from 1 species
AUCUGGUUGAUCCUGCCAGUAGUCAUACGCUUGUCUCAAAGAUUAAGCCAUGCAUGUCUAAGUAUAAAGGUUACAUACAAUGAAACUGCGAAUGGCUCAUUCAAACAGUUAUAGUUUAUUUGGAUUAAAACAUUUGUUUAAAUGGAUAACCGUAGUAAUUCUAGGGCUAAUACAUGCGUUACGAGGGACUUUACGGAACCUCAGUAUUUAUUAGAUUUCAAACCAAUAUUCCGCAAGGUCUACUGAGAUGAUUCAUGAUAACUUAUCGGAUUGCUGGGUCUACCGGCAAUGAACCAUUCAUGUUUCUGCUUCCCAUCAGCUUGAUGGUAGUGUAUUGGACAACCAUGGCAUUCACGGGCUAUCGGGGGAUUAGGGUUCGAUUCCGGAGAGGGAGCCUGAGAAACGGCUACCACUUCUACGGAAGGCAGCAGGCGCGAAAAUUAUCCAAUCCUGAUUCAGGGAGGUAGUGAAAGAAAUAAUGAACUAGGAUUUAUCCUGGGGUCACAAUGGGCUUGAUUUGCAAACUUUCUAGCGAGGAACAAUUGGAGGGCAAGUCUGGUGCCAGCAGCCGCGGUAAUUCCAGCUCCAAUAGUGUAUAUUAAUGUUCCUGCAGUUAUUCGAUGCUCGUAGUUGGAUUUCUGGAGGCUGAGACAGGAGGGCAGCCAAGGUUGUCGCCAGUCUCUUCCUUCAUCCGCCUGUUAACGUUGUCCGGGAUUUAUUUCUCGGCUUCGGGCUCAGGUACUUUUUUUGUUUUACCCUUUCUUUAUAUUCAUUUAUUUAUCUUUAUUUUUUGAGCAAAUUAUAGUGUUUCAGGCAGGCGUGCGCCGGAAUACAUUAGCAUGGAAUAAUCGAAUUGGACCGUGUAUUCACUAUGUGAAUUCUUCCUUAUUUGUUGGUUCUAAGGACACGGAUAUGAUUAAUAGGGAUAGUAAUUUUCAGGGGAGGCAUUAGUAUUUAAUUUCCAGAGGUGAAAUUCUUUGAAAUAUUAAAGACUAACUUAUGCGAAAGCAUUUAUUUUGCCAAUAAUGUUUUCAUUAAUCAUUGAACGAAAGUUAGGGGAUCAAAGACGAUCAGAUACCGUCCUAGUCUUAACCAUAAACGUUGCCGACUAGGGAUCGGAGGGCGUGCACAUUCCGCCUUCGGCACCUUACGAGAAAUCAAAGUCUUUUGGGUUCUGGGGGUAGUAUGGUCGCAAGGCUGAAACUUAAAGGAAUUGACGGAAGGGCACCACCAGGAGUGGAGCUUGCGGCUCAAUUUGACUCAACACGGGAAAUCUUACCAGGUCCAGACAUAGCGAGGAUUGACAGAUUGAUAGCUCUUUCUUGAUUCUAUGGGUAUUUUUGGUGGUGCAUGGCCGUUCUUAGUUGGUGGAGUGAUUUGUCUGGUUAAUUCCGUUAACGAACGAGACCUCGACCUACUAAAUAGUUCGACAAACCAUUUGGUUUGGCUGCAACUUCUUAGAGGGACUAUCAGAAUGUAACUGAUGGAGGUUCGAGGCAAUAACAGGUCUGUGAUGCCCUUAGAUGUCCUGGGCCGCACGCGUGCUACACUGAUGCAUACAGCGAGCACUUCCCGGCCCCGAAAGGCGGCUGGUAAUCAGCAAUAUGCAUCGUGAUGGGGAUAGUUCUUUGGAAUUCUUGAACUUGAACGAGGAAUGCCUAGUAGGCGCAAGUCAUUACCUUGCGUCGAUUAAGUCCCUGCCCUUUGUACACACCGCCCGUCGCUCCUACCGAUUCGAGUGAUCCGGUGAACCUUUUGGACCGGAGCUGCUUGCAGUUCUGGAAAAUCAAGUAAACCACGUCACUUAGAGGAAGGAGAAGUCGUAACAAGGUUUCCGUAGGUGAACCUGCGGAAGGAUCAAU